rnacentral:lncRNA from 1 species
AUCAUCUCAUUUAGUGCUCACAAGAGCUUGAGUGUCAAAUGUUUUUAUUCAAAUUUUAUAGAUGGGAAAAUAGAUGCUCAUAUAUGUUAUAUAACAAGUCAAAAUACACAGAUAAUGAAUACCAGAGAGAAAACAUUACAACCUAAACUUGCUAGACCGCAAAAUCUGUGCCUUUCAAUAUUUGGCUGUCACGCAGGAAUCAAUUCUCCAAAGUAGGCAUUUGUACAUGAUAUUCAACAAGAACAUGAGAUAAUUUUCUGUAUUAUCCUAGUAGUUGGUAUCAGUAAGGCCACUAGGAAAUACUAUAAAAAUAUAAAUAAAUUUAAUUUGGGAUGCUUUCCUAAUUCCAUUUCUUCCGUUCUUCUCCCCUUUCAAAGAUCUCCCCUUUCACAAAGCUUUUCCUGAAAUUUGUUGCCUGCCUCCACCCAUGUAACUCCUCUAAUCUAUACUUACAUCUGUUUGAAGACCAGUAUAUUAGUUAGGAUUAGAUGUGGCUGCAUAUGACAUGAAAUCCAAAUGAUGCACUUAAACCACACAGAAGUUUAUUUAAAUCUUAUAUAAAAGAAGGCCAGAGGUAGGGAUUUCGGGGCUAAAAAAGCAGUUGACAAUACCACCAUGUCCCAGACCUCUUCCAUGGCUCUCCUCCAUCAUCCUUAGUAUGUGCAUCUCAUCCUCAUAUAGGCCGUAUGGUUCAACAUGCCAGCUAGGUCUUGGGUUCUUAUGUUUCUAUAUGUCUAACUAAAUGUGUAACUUUUUCAAAAGGAGUAUUACCAGAAAUACCCUCUGACCUUUUUUGUCUAUAGUUCUCAGUUAGUCCUAGGACUACUGUCACAAAGUACACAAAUUAGGUGUCUUAGGAAAAAAAAUAAAUUUAAGUCUCAUAAUUCUGGAGUCUAGAAGUCUGAAAUCAAGGUAUUAGCACGGUUGUGCUGCUUCUGAGAUCUCAGGUGGAGUACUUCCUCACCUCUUUCUAGCUUCUGGUGUGGCCACCAACUCCUUAACGUUCUUUGGUUUAUGAGUAGGAUUCACUUUAACCUCCACCUCUGUUGUCACACAGUAUUAUCUUCUUGCAGGUAUUUCCCCAUCUCAUUUUCUUCCCUUCUCUUCUUAUGAGGACAUCGAUCAUUGGGCUGAGGUCCCCAACAACCCCAGUUUAUAUUCACCUUCUUGUUCCAUAUGCAGAAACCCUAUUUCCCAAUAAGGGCAUGUCCUGAGGUACAAGGGCUUACGAAUUCCACAUAUCUUUUUAAGGGAAAACAAUUCAACCCAUAACAACUUCAUUAGAGCUUAGUCACAUGUCCACAACAAUAUUUGAGUAUGAGGAUAAAUGUCAACACUGGCUAGAUUAUCACCAUCCCAAAUUAAACUGCUGCUGUUACCAAGAAAGAAGAGAAUAGAUAUUGAUUGUCUAUCUUAUCAAGUAGUAUAUCAUUGAGCACCUACAGAGCAUCCAGAAUGUUGUGUGGCAUGUAGUAGACCCUCACUAAAUAUUUUUUUGAACAAAUGAAUGAGUGAUCUAGAAUUAUACUUAUGAGAAGAAAGCACAUGGUAAUGGGACAAAUUUAUAAAGUACAAUAAACUGUAAAGUCUUACCUAAAACUGGAAACUCUAUCUUUAUCCAGAGAAGAUAAGCUUCAAAUUUUUGGAGGCUUUUUAACGAUCUGGAAUGAAGUGUCUAGCACAGAUUCUGGAUGCAUUUGCACACAAUCUGGAAAUACUAUAAGCCCUGGGCAAGGAAAAAGGGGGCUUUCUGACCAUAUCCUAUCAGUAAGCCUGAAUUACUAGAAAUGGUUGGGCCUACCCAUCAGGGCACACAAGAACUAAAUGCAAAGAAGGCAGGCAGAAGGCCUGGGAAUCAGAACCAACUUACAGAAAUAUUUGGUGGGCAGCAGUGUUUUCAAAUUUUUAAUUUAUUGCCAUGUUUUAAACAUGAUUUCAGGUAGAAAUAUGUAUUUCCAACUGUUUUUUAAAACCCAAAGAUUUGAUAAUAUUGAGCCCAAAUAAAUAUGUAGCAAUUAUUGGUUGAGUCUGAGUAUGAGCUGUCCAAUUCAGAUGGGGAAAGAAUUCCCUAUUCUUCCAGUUACCCUUCUUCACAAAUUUAUGCUUCUUUCCUGAACUCUCAAUGUAUUUGAGUUUGUCACUCUUGGUCUAAUGUCACCUAGAAAACCUAAAGUAGGUGCCUUCAUAUACCUAAAUUUCUUCAGUUUUAAAGUAUUAAUGUUCACAGCAAAUAUUCAAAGCACUGUAGCAAUGGAUGUAUGGCAAGGGAAAAUAAGAUGAUAUCUCUAAAUUGUAUAAUAUACUACCCAGGCUUCUUUCACACCAGACUGUUGACAACAGGAAGAUGUGUCUUUCUUUUCAUCUCAUGUUUUGGUGCCAUGAAUUGGUAAUUUGACUAAUGAAUAAAGGAAAACUAAUGUGUUGAUUCUAAAGAAACAAUAUAUGGGGAUGAUACAGAUAUAGAUACACACACACACACACACACACACACACACACACAUUUCACCGAAAAUCAUUAUUGUUUAAGGAAAAAGAAAAGAGUAAAAAACAAAUAUUUUAAAAUGUAAUAGUCAAAUAAUUAUGACAGCUUUUAAGAAAAAUAAAGUGAGAAAAAGGAAUAGGAAAGUCUAGAUCAAAACAAUUUUUGAAAAGGUACUUAAGGAAAGCAUCACUUAAGAAAGAAGACAAUAUCUGAAGAUGAGAAAACAGUCCAUGCAAUAUCUUGGAGAAGAACCUUCAAAGCAGAGGUAAAACAAGGACCAAGGAAUUGAGACAAUGGGAGCAUCACUGGCAUGUUCGAGGGAUGUGAAGGACAGCAGAGUAUCAGGAUGAAUGAGUAAGAAGGAGAAUAGCAGAAGGGGAGGCCAGGAAAACUGGGAGAAUCACGUAAGCUGCCAUAUGUCAUUUUAAGUAUUUUGAAUCUACUAGGAAGAGAUUAGAAACCAAGGAGUAUGCAGAGCAGAGAGAUGAUAUGACCUGAUAUUAUAUUUUAAGGCAUCAUUUUGGCUGCUGUGUUGAGUUAGACUGUAAGAGGGAAAGAUAGGAAACAGGGAUAUUACUUAAGACUUAUGAAGUCUACCCAGGCAGGAGAGAAUGUUGACUUGGACCAAGAUCAAAGCAAUGGGAAUGGUGAAGAGGCUUCAGAUUUUGAAUAUAUUUUAAGGUAGGAUUUGCUAAUGGACUGUAUAUGGCAAAUAAGAGAAAGAAGUCAUCAAAGGUGAAUCCAAGGUUUUUAAGCCUAAAAGCCACCACUUCCUAAGAUGAGGAGGUCUGAAGUGAUUGCAUUCUGGGUAGGGUGGGCAGAGGCUUGAUAGGGAAUUUGCUUUAAGUUUCAGAUGCUUGUUAGACAUUCAAAUAGGCUAAAGAUGUCUAGGCUAAAGAUAAAUUUGGGAAUUCUACUGAAGAAAAAUGAUAAUUAAAAUUAUGAAACUGAAUAUUAUUACCAAGAGAAUGUGUGAAAAAGAUAAGCAGAGAUCUGAGAACUGAACCAGGGGUACUCCAAUAUUUAAAGUUUGAUGAGAUAAAUAAGAAUAAGCAAAGGGAUAGCAAUGAAUUAGGAGUAAAAUCAGAAGGAUAAUGUUCCAAGAAGCUGGUAUAAAAAGUAUUUCAAAGAGGAAGGUUGAAAACUGAGUCAAGUGUAGCUGAUAGGUAAAGAAAGAUCAAAAUUUAGAACAUAUUAUUGGGUUUAACAAAGGAAUAAAAUUUGGUGCUUUGAAAAGAUCAGUUUUGAAAGAGUAAUGGAUGGAAGCAAAACCCUGACUCAGAAGUCUUCAAGAGUGAAAGUGGACAUAACCAGAGACAACGGGUAUGGACACUGAUUUCAACUAUCACUUUCUAAAAGGUGAAAAUUGUCAGAGACUGGAGAAAAAGGAGGAGACUAGGGAAGCUUUUCAGUUUUGAUUCUGUUUAAAAAUGGAAGAAAAAGUAGAUAUAUAUAAACUGAUUAUUAUGAUACAGCAGAAAGAAGGAAAUAUUAGAGUCAGGAGAGAAGAAUAUUUCAAGCAGGUGAGAAUUAAGUAGUUCUGAUACAUAAGUGGAUGGUUUACCCUUUUUAUGAGUUCAGUCAGUUCAUCCACAGGAGAUGGAAAGUAUCAUAUAUAGAUGCUAAGGAAGAUAAAUAGGUAGAUGUGGUGGUGAGAGCCUGUAAACGCUGUCUUCAGAUUUUGCAUUAUUUUCUCAGUGUAUUGAAGUAAUCAGUUAAGAAUGAGGAUGGAAAACUUAGAGUUUGGAAAAGAGAGAAGAGGUAGGAAAAACUGGCCUGGAAGAGUAAGAGUGAAUGAACUAGGGUAAGGGUGAAUGAAUGAGGAGGAUGGCUGAGCAGUGCUUAGAGUCCACUCAAGAUCAGACAUGUAUUUAAAGUGAGACCCGAAAGUCUGGUCCAGUAAUUUGCUACAAACUGCAUUUGCUGUGCAAGUGCAGGGACAAUGCAGGUGGAGAGAAGUAUUUAACUAGGUUUGGAAUUUUGCCAGGCAACUAUGGUAAAGUGAGAUGGGUAAGGAAGUUGAAGUAACGGAGAGGUUUAAUGCCCAGUGACAGAAUCUAACUUGGAUAAAGAAGCAUCAUGGACAUAAAAUGGUGGUGAAGGAGGGCAAAAAGUAAAAGGAUCUAAAAAUUGUGCCAAUAAGCUCAAAGAAGAGUUGAGUUGAAAGAUAUUAGAAAAGGUGGGAUGGAGGAUUUCCUGUCAUGGCUCAGCAGGUUAAGAACAUGCCUAGUAUCCAUGAGGAUGCAGGAAUGAUCCCUGGCCUCACUCAGUGGGUUAGGGAUCCAGUGGUGCCAUGAGCUGUGGUGUAGGUUGCAGACUCUGCUCAGAUCCCACAAUGCUGUGGCUGUGGCAUAGGCCUGGAAACUUUCAUUUGCUGCGGGUGCAGCCCUUUAAAAAAAAAAAAAAAAGUGAGAUGGAAAGAUACGAAGAGGUACUUGGAAAAUGCUUGAAAUUAGGCUACAAAAAUGUUACUUUCUGCAAUGAUAAUGAUGUCAUCUAAGGUAUGGCCAUAGCAUUGAAUAGCUAUGAAAGGGUGAAGGACAAGAUCAUUGGAAGGGAGACAGGAAAAGAAGUUUGAAGCCAAUUUAUUAGAAAAAUUGUCUAAGUAGAUAUUGAAAUCACCAAAGAAUUUCAUAGUUGUCAAGGAGCUAAAAUCGUUCAGGAACAAGAGGUACUGAAGUUGGAGUCAGUGGAUGACUGC